rnacentral:rRNA from 1 species
UGGGGAAUAUUGCACAAUGGGCGAAAGCCUGAUGCAGCGACGCCGCGUGAGGGAUGACGGCCUUCGGGUUGUAAACCUCUUUCAGUAGGGACGAAGCGCAAGUGACGGUACCUACAGAAGAAGCACCGGCCAACUACGUGCCAGCAGCCGCGGUAAUACGUAGGGUGCGAGAGUUGUCCGGAUUUACUGGGCGUAAAGAGCUCGUAGGCGGUUUGUCACGUCGUCUGUGAAAACCCGAGGCUUAACCUCGGGCCUGCAGGCGAUACGGGCAGACUUGAGUACUGUAGGGGAGACUGGAAUUCCUGGUGUAGCGGUGGAAUGCGCAGAUAUCAGGAGGAACACCGUUGGCGAAGGCGGGUCUCUGGGCAGUAACUGACGCUGAGGAGCGAAAGCGUGGGUAGCGAACAGG